UACGUAGGGGGCAAGCGUUGUCCGGAAUCAUUGGGCGUAAAGAGCGUGUAGGCGGCUCGAUAAGUCUGCUGUGAAAGUCCAGGGCUCAACCCUGGAAGGCCGGUGGAAACUGUCGGGCUAGAGUCCGGAAGAGGCGAGUGGAAUUCCCGGUGUAGCGGUGAAAUGCGCAGAUAUCGGGAGGAACACCAAUGGCGAAGGCAGCUCGCUGGGACGGUACUGACGCUGAGACGCGAAAGCGUGGGGAGCAAACAGGG
rnacentral:rRNA from 1 species